UGGUGAGUAACGCGUGAGGAACCUGCCUUUCGGAGGGGGACAACAGUUGGAAACGACUGCUAAUACCGCAUGAUACAUUUGGGCCGCAUGGUCUGAAUGUCAAAGAUUUAUCGCCGAAAGAUGGCCUCGCGUCUGAUUAGCUAGUUGGUGGGGUAACGGCCCACCAAGGCGACGAUCAGUAGCCGGACUGAGAGGUUGGCCGGCCACAUUGGGACUGAGAUACGGCCCAGACUCCUACGGGAGGCAGCAG
rnacentral:rRNA from 1 species